AUGUUAUGCCAUGAGUCAUGGGACCAGCCUGAGUCCUGGGGGACCUCGUCUGACCACACCCUACUCCCCAAGUCCCCAGCAGUAUCAUGAGAUCCUUCUUGUUGUUUGUUAGCCUUGGACAGCUGAAGUCAGGUAUUUGCGAUCAGAAUCAUUUGGAACUUGCUGAAUUGUUUGGAAAAUCCUUCUGUAGAGGAGAAGAACUUGUUGCCUUCUGAUGAACUGCUUUAACAUUAGUGUUGCUGGGCUGUGCCUCGGUGCCUUGGGUUUCCUACAGGGUGAGUGCCCCAGAAGGAACACAGAAAGCUGGGCUGCCGCUUCAUCACGGCUUUCUCGGAAAACGGGGGCGCUGAGAAGCCCAACUUCCAGCUAUAUAUGUCGCCACCGCCCACAGGGCCCCCGACGGCGAUGCUGGUGACAGCGCUCCCUGCGUGGGCGCCACUCUCCCCGUGCUCCCCGCGCCUGCAGCCAGGCACGACGGUGUGGGUGUGCCCGCCCGGGGC
rnacentral:lncRNA from 1 species